AAUUUUCGUCAUUGGGGGAAAUCCUGACCGCGCAACGCCUCUUUAACGCCGUAGUACUUCGGUAUGUAAAGAUCUUUUAUAUGGGAAGAAAAAUUAGAAAUUAACGGUACCAUAUGAACAAGCCCCGGCUAAUUAUUUUCCAGCAGCCGCGGUAAUACAUAGGGGGCGAGCGUUAUCCGGAUUUACUGGGCGUAAAGGGUGCGUAGGUGGUUAUACAAGUUUGUGGUGUAAGUGCAGUGCUUAACGCUGUGAGGCUAUGAAAACUAUAUAACUAGAGUGAGACAGAGGCAAGUGGAAUUCCAUGUGUAGCGGUAAAAUGCGUAAAUAUAUGGAGGAACACCAGUGGCGAAGGCGGCUUGCUGGGUCUAUACUGACACUGAUGCACGAAAGCGUGGGGAGCAAACAGG
rnacentral:rRNA from 1 species